GACGAACCGUGCGAACGUUGUUCGGAUUCACUGGGCUUAAAGGGCGCGUAGGCGGCGGGGUAAGUCGGGUGUGAAAUCUCAGAGCUCAACUCUGAAAUGGCACUUGAUACUGCUCUGCUAGAGGACUGGAGAGGAGAUUGGAAUUCACGGUGUAGCAGUGAAAUGCGUAGAUAUCGUGAGGAAGACCGGGUGGCGAAGGCGGAUCUCUGGACAGUUCCUGACGCUGAGGCGCGAAGGCCAGGGGAGCAAACGGG
rnacentral:rRNA from 1 species